UCUCUAUUUUUCUAAGAUAAAUCAAUUUAGGGUUUACAAGGUUAUCCAUUUAAAGGGUUAGGAUUUACUUUAUCUGAGUUAUCAGUUUUCAAUCGAAAACAAGCUCAAUGGAAUCUCUUGUAUUCUUCUUCUUCGGCAUCUCAUGAAGCAAUCAAAACCUGCUCGGAAGUACUUCUCGCAACCAUCACACGACCACCAUAUCCGGAAACGGAAAUCUUGCGAAUUCCUAUCCUUAAAUGAUCUGAUUUUACUGUUACUUAAUUUUGGAUUUCUUAAAAGUAUGCGUUCUACGUGUUCGAUGAAAUGAGAAAUGAGAUAGAUACACGCACACGCGCAUAUGGAUAAUCUAACCCAUCUUACGAAAUAUUUUUGUGCAAUCUAUAGAGCCUUAAUUGCCAUAUAACAGCAUGUAUUUGCAAAGUACCAAUUGAUUAUCUUUUCAUCCUGUUAUAAUACAUGCCCUUGGUUUUGUCCCUUUCUCUCUCGCUCUCUCUCGGCAGCUUCGAAACAUCAUUCAAAAUAUGGAAUUUACCUUCGCAAUGCAGCAACCGUUUUCCUAGCGAGUUUCGGUAUAAGAUUUUGGCAAUUGCAAGACUGUUGAAUCUCAAACCUGUCUCUCUGCCUCAAUAACUCUAGGUGACUCACGGUUAUGCCAUCCACUUGGUAUGUAUUCGCCAUUGGAAGCAAAAGGUCAAUAAACUCAGCGAAGAAGUAAGCUUCAGAUAAAGAACAUCUCCGCGGGUGAAGAAUUGGGAUACUUGAAUGAGAUGGCUGGCUAGUUUAGGAUUACAUUUUCUAGAAAGGGAGAUUACAUUAGUGUUUUUUUUAUGAGUGUAAUUAGUCUGAAUCUUAAAUGUAGUGUGUUGGAAAAUUAUUCUCCAAACUAUUGUAAUGAAUCUUCAUCCAUUUGUUGAAUUACUCAUCUUACAUUG